UAAUACAAGAAAUAAAAUAAAGGAAAAAAACUGAACUGAGUUUACGCUAAGAGCUAGCCCGGGCCUUGAUGAAGCAUGGCCGGGCGCCAAAACAACCGGUCGGGCUUCGAUAGUGGCAGGGACAGUUUCUGGCAUUCUGCAGGCCAAGCAUGUUUUAAACAAACUCAAACCCUUAUUUUCUCACACCCUCUCAUCCGGAACUCCCUCCCCUCUUUCUCUAACCUCCGUUUCUCUCUAGAUUUUCCCUUUUCUUGAAUUACCCAACAAUCCUCACAAAAUUUUCUUUGAAACCCUUUCCCUCCUCUAUAUUUUGAACCGAACAAAACUUAAUUUGGUGAAGUUUGAGCUUUUCCCUUGGUUUUUCUCACAUUUGCCCACUUUGCUCACACUUUCCUUCUUUUCCCUUUGAUUUUCCACAAUUUCUUCACUUUCUCUCUCCUAGGGUUUGAAAUUUGAGAUUUCCACCUAUUUUCACUUAUCCGCUUUACUUUUUCUUCACUUUUCUCUAAUUUUCUCCAUGACUAGUGACGAGGUUCCCAUCCCGGACCCUGCCAUUGGUAUUAGGGCCGUCUUAGGUGCAGAUAUGGAGGCCAAGGAUGCUCAUACGUUGCCUCCCCUCGUUGAUAGGCCAUUUGAUGCGGCCACCUACCGACCACGCACACAUGCUCGGCCCCUAGGUGGUAUUUUGAGAUUUGAGGUCCUCAUCCCCAAGAUAAACGAGGACAUCUUGCUGCGAGAGCCCGUGAAGUACUUAUCCACCAAUGCUUCUACGUUAAGUAACCUUCAUUUGUUUUGAUACGUUGUUGAAUCUCGCAAGUAGACCACUAGUGAAUACCAUACACACUCCUCAUUUACAGGUGAUAGCUAGGAGGAUUGGCGGCAAUAGAUCCAUAUCCGGCCCCCAGUGCUGGUAUAAGAGACUGCCCGCAGAGGUCCGCGCACUGGUUGAUGCCGCUGGCUUUGGGCCUUUUUGCUUAGGGCUCAUACAGAUGAGGGCAGAGUCGCUGUUGUAUAGGGCCCUAGUAGAGAGAUGGUGGGACACUAGGGACUCAUUCCACUUCUCAUCGAUCAUGGAGAUGACUCUAACCCCGUACGAUUUCUCGAUGCUUAUUGGCCUGCGAGUCAGGGUUGGCAGCCCGAUCCCAUGUGAUCCUGACAUGACGCAGUGGAGAGCCGCACAGCGUCAGCUUCUUGGGGGCGAUCUCGGACAUCACCAGUCACGGGAUGGUGAGAUGUAAUUGGUUUUAUGAUAAUUUCUCUGAGUCCUAGCCCGCUACUUCAGAUGAGGUCACUCAGUAUACCCACAGCUUCUUUAUGUAUCUCCUCAAUACUAUCUUGUUCACGAACAGGAAAAAUACCGUGGGGUUAUAUCUUCUAGGGGCACUGGUACAACUACCACAGGUGACAGAUUACAACUGGGGUGGCGUCGGCCUGGCGACCUUAUACUGUUAUACGAGCUCUAUAUCCUGCCGCAAGAUAGAUUCACUUGGCGGCUACUGGAUGGUUUGGAAGGUUUACACAUACUUCACCUCUCUAGCUCCGGUCCCAGUGAGGCCGAUUGAGUUGUUAGUACCCCGCUUCCAGUACUAUAACUCUCGAUUUGAGCACUUCCGUUGUGUGAACCGAGACUUCCUCUACUUUCACCGCUUCUUUGACAUGAUCACGGUGGAUUAGGUUGACUGGCAUCCUUGGGCGGGCAUUCCCUAGGCGUUGAAGAGGACCUAUGUCGCUGUAUGGCAUGCCUCCACCAUGCGAAUUCUGUUUGAGGGCCUCUUUAGCUGGGCUUACUACCUGGGGAAGUGGUUCAUCUGCCAGGCACAAGGCAUCGCUGACCUCGACAUUCCAUAUCCUCUUCCUCCAGUCAUGAGGGUAGUUGAUAAGCUUCAGAAGGAUCCUCAGAUCGACCUCUUGAUGUUGGGAGAGGAUGGUGAUCGACAUCAUGAACCCGAUGACUUCACCACCUUCUUACAUACUCGAGUGAUGGUGCCUCUUACCCUGGGCAUGGUUCGCGUUGUUCUAGAGGUUGCUACUGUUGCUGCUGCUAGCGAUGCCCCUACUGGAGGUGCCCCUAUCGUUGCUUCAAUUCCUAGGUUUCCCGUGAUUCCCACUGAGAUCAUGUUCUUUGUAACAAUCCCUACCCAUAAUUAACGUAUAUUCCAUGAUUAAGAAGGCUUAAUAAGUAAUUAAAG